UACGGGGGGAGCAAGCGUUAAUCGGAAUUACUGGGCGUAAAGCGUGCGUAGACGGUCAUGUAAGUCGGGUGUGAAAGCCCCGGGCUCAACCUGGGAAUUGCAUUCGAGACUGCAUGGCUAGGAUGCGGAAGAGGGAAGCGGAAUUUCCGGUGUAGCGGUGAAAUGCGUAGAUAUCGGAAGGAACACCAGUGGCGAAAGCGGCUUCCUGGUCCAGCAUCGACG
rnacentral:rRNA from 1 species